GUCUGCAUGGCAUGCAGAAGGUC
rnacentral:tRNA from 1 species